UACGUAGGGUGCAAGCGUUGUCCGGAAUUAUUGGGCGUAAAGAGCUCGUAGGCGGUUUGUCGCGUCUGCUGUGAAAACCUAAGGCUCAACCUUGGGCUUGCAGUGGGUACGGGCAGACUAGAGUGCGGUAGGGGUGACUGGAAUUCCUGGUGUAGCGGUGGAAUGCGCAGAUAUCAAGUGGAACACCAGUGGCGAAGGCGAGUCUCUGGACAUUUCCUGACGCUGAGGCACGAAAGCCAGGGGAGCAAACGGG
rnacentral:rRNA from 1 species